rnacentral:rRNA from 1 species
AGAGUUUGAUCAUGGCUCAGAACGUACGCUGGCGGCACGCCUAACACAUGCAAGUCGAACGAAGUAGCAAUACUUAGUGGCAGACGGGUGAGUAACAUGUAGGUAUCUGCCCUUUGGCCUGGAAUAACACGAGGAAACUUGUGCUAAUACCGGAUAAGUCUUUACGGAGAAAGCUUUAUGCACCAUUGGAUGAGCCUGCACUUGAUUAGUUUGUUGGUGGGGUAAUGGCCUACCAAGACUGUGAUCAAUAGCUGAUUUGAGAGGAUGAUCAGCCACAUUGGGACUGAGACACGGCCCAAACUCCUACGGGAGGCAGCAGUGGGGAAUCUUGCACAAUGGAGGAAACUCUGAUGCAGCGAUGCCGCGUGAGUGAAGAAGGCCCUUGGGUUGUAAAGCUCUUUCGUCGGGGAAGAAAAUGACUGUACCCGAAUAAGAAGGUCCGGCUAACUUCGUGCCAGCAGCCGCGGUAAUACGAAGGGACCUAGCGUAGUUCGGAAUUACUGGGCUUAAAGAGUUCGUAGGUGGUUGAAAAAGUUAGUGGUGAAAUCCCAGAGCUUAACUCUGGAACUGCCAUUAAAACUUUUCAGCUAGAGUAUGAUAGAGGAAAGCAGAAUUUCUAGUGUAGAGGUGAAAUUCGUAGAUAUUAGAAAGAAUACCAAUUGCGAAGGCAGCUUUCUGGAUCAUUACUGACACUGAGGAACGAAAGCAUGGGUAGCGAAGAGGAUUAGAUACCCUCGUAGUCCAUGCCGUAAACGAUGUGUGUUAGACGUUGGAAAUUUAUUUUCAGUGUCGCAGCGAAAGCGAUAAACACACCGCCUGGGGAGUACGACCGCAAGGUUAAAACUCAAAUGAAUUGACGGGGACCCGCACAAGUAGUGGAGCAUGUGGUUUAAUUCGAAGAUACGCGCAGAACCUUACCAACACUUGACAUGUUCGUCGCGACUUUAAGAGAUUAAAGUUUUCGGUUCGGCCGGACGAAACACAGGUGCUGCAUGGCUGUCGUCAGCUCGUGUCGUGAGAUGUUGGGUUAAGUCCCGCAACGAGCGCAACCCUCACUUUUAGUUGCCAUCAUUUAGUUGGGCACUCUGAAAGAACUGCCAGUGAUAAGCUGGAGGAAGGUGGGGAUGACGUCAAGUCCUCAUGGCCCUUACGUGUUGGGCUACACACGUGCUACAAUGGUAUCUACAACAGGAAGCAAAACCGCGAGGUUAAGCAAAUCCUUAAAAGAUACCUCAGUUCGGAUUGCACUCUGCAACUCGAGUGCAUGAAGCUGGAAUUACUAGUAAUCGUGGAUCAGCGUGCCACGGUGAAUGCGUUCCCGGGUCUUGUACACACCGCCCGUCACACCAUGGGAGUUGGUUCUACCUUAAGGCAAGGUUUAAAACCCUUGACCACGGUAUAGUCAGCGACUGGGGUGAAGUCGUAACAAGGUAGCCGUAGGGGAACCUGCGGCUG